rnacentral:rRNA from 1 species
UGGGGANNNNNUNNNNCAAUGGGGGGAACCCUGACGCAGCCAUGCCGCGUGAAUGAAGAAGGCCUUCGGGUUGUAAAGUUCUUUCGGUAUUGAGGAAGGUUGAUGUGUUAAUAGCACAUCAAAUUGACGUUAAAUACAGAAGAAGCACCGGCUAACUCCGUGCCAGCAGCCGCGGUAAUACGGAGGGUGCGAGCGUUAAUCGGAAUAACUGGGCGUAAAGGGCACGCAGGCGGUUAUUUAAGUGAGGUGUGAAAGCCCCGGGCUUAACCUGGGAAUUGCAUUUCAGACUGGGUAACUAGAGUACUUUAGGGAGGGGUAGAAUUCCACGUGUAGCGGUGAAAUGCGUAGAGAUGUGGAGGAAUACCGAAGGCGAAGGCAGCCCCUUGGGAAUGUACUGACGCUCAUGUGCGAAAGCGUGGGGAGCAAACAGGAUUAGAUACCCUGGUAGUCCACGCUGUAAACGCUGUCGAUUUGGGGGUUGGGGUUUAACUCUGGCGCCCGUAGCUAACGUGAUAAAUCGACCGCCUGGGGAGUACGGCCGCAAGGUUA